rnacentral:snoRNA from 1 species
UUGAAUAAAACAGAACAGUGAAUUAGACCUUGAAGUGCAUAUACAUGAGCUUUUUAACUCUGAGCAAU